AUNCAGCGACGCCGCGAUGGGUGANGANGGCCUGCGGGUUGUAAAGCCCUUUCGGUGNNGAAGAAAAGCNUCGACCUAAUACGUCGGGGUCUUGACGUAACCCAUAGAAGAAGCACCGGCUAACUCUGUGCCAGCAGCCGCGNUAAUACAUAGGGNGCGAGCGUUAAUCGNAAUUACUGGGCGUAAAGCGCGCGUAGGCGGCUUUGCAAGUCGGGUGUGAAAUCCCCAGGCUUAACCUGGNAACUGCAUUCGAGACUGCAUUGCUAGAGUAUGGGAGAGGGAAGUGNAAUUUCAGGUGUAGCGGUGAAAUGCGUAGAUAUCUGAAGGAACAUCAGUGGCGAAAGCGACUUCCUGGACCAAUACUGACGCUCAUGUGCGAAAGCGUGCGGAGCAAACAGGAUUAGAUACCCUGGUAGUCCACGCCAUAAACGAUCUAGAACUGGAUGUCGGGAGGGUCUGCCUCUCGGUGUCGUANCUAACGCGUUAAGUUCUCCGCCUGGNGAGUACGGCCGCAAGGUUG
rnacentral:rRNA from 1 species